rnacentral:lncRNA from 1 species
GGUUCUGACUUGGCAGACUCGCACUCUUGCAAAACUGCGAUCCAGGUGGGAAAGGGAGAGAUGGGUGACUCCAAGAGCAGUCUUGGCUUCCUCCUUUUGCUUCUGAUUGUCUUGUUCAGCGGGACGUCCAGCGACGCUCAUUCUCUUUCCUAUAAUUUCACCAUUGAUCCUCAGCCCAGAGAUGAUCAGCCAUGGUGUGAGGUUCAAGGAGAAGUUGAUCAAAAGGUCUUUCUCUCCUAUGACUGUGGUACAGCUAAGAUCAAGUACAUGAGUCCAUUGGGAGAGGAAGUGAAAAAUAUGAGCGCCUGGGAAGCACAGACUGUCACACUCAGAGACACUGGAGACUUGCUCCAGGGGCAGAUGCCUGACGUUACACCGGAGAAACACACAGACAAGGUGGGAUCAGGCCUUGUGACCCUGCAGGCCAGGAUGACAUGCUGGCGUGAAGACGAUGGACACACCAAUGCAUCCUGGGGGUUUGGCUUCAAUGGACAGCUGUGCCUCCUCUUUGAUUCAGAGAAUGGACACUGGACAGUGGUUCAUCCUGGAGGGAGACAGAUGAAAGAGAAAUGGGAGAACGACAGGACUGUGACUGACUUCUUCAGGACAGUCUCCAUGGGAGACUGUUGGGCCUGGCUUCAGGCUUUCUUGGUGCACUGGGAGAAAAUGUUGAAGAGCUUGGCACCACCGACCACAGUCCCCACGACAGUGCAGCCCACGGCCGCAACCAACAACCACAUAACAGAGAUCAUCUUUGUGGUUCUCCCCGUUUUCGUCAUAACAAGCAUCGUAGCCUGCAUCCUUUACAAGAAGAGGAGAUGGUCCUCCCAGGAAGUGUGGCAGGUGUGCUGUCGGCCUGUGGGCUCAGUCUCUGCUCAGCCGCCUUUGCCCUCCUGCGUUCACUUUAGAGGCAAGAGAAGAGACCCAGGAAUUCGGAGCCUGCCUUCCUGUUAUGAUGACAAGGUUGACAGUAUCGGGCCUUGUGUGCAUUGCAACCACGUACGCCCAGCUACUUCAGCAGAGCAGGAAGACGCUAAAAAAAAUGAGAAGCGUGUCUGCACCCGUUCAACCCCCUGAGGCUGAAGCUCCGGCGUCGUCAACAGGACCAAGACAACUUGUCUGGACCAUCUUAUAGAUGACCAUGUUACUCUGCUCCGAAGCUGCCAGCGUGAACCCGCACCAACCCAUCAGAAUCACCUGGAAACUGCAAAAUGGACUAACAUGUGAGAUGCUUAACUCACCACCACAAUACAUCCACCAAAUACUUGGUGGCCAGACUUAUACUUUGACCUUAAGCCGGUGGUAAAUGUACCCUGGAAGAGGGGCAAGCUCCGGAAUCAUGCAUUCUGGGCAUGUCCAGGUGCGCCCAGGCAUAACUGGAAGAUCUGUGGGGGGAUACAGGACUCUUAUUGUAAAUCUUGGGACUGCGUAACUUCCAAUGAUGGAUCGGAGACUCCAGGGUAUAGACGGUGGGAUGUAGGAAAUCGGGACUUGCUUAACUUCUCAUUUGUAGGACCCGUACCUCCGUACUCCAAUUGGGAAAAGGAUCAUAACUUUGCCCAGGUAAAAAUAAGGUUUAACAUUGACAAAGCAAAAAAAGAAAAGGCCUGGGUCAACGGGAGAUCAUGGGGGCUUCAGACCAGAACUGACGGGUUCCCAUACCGGGAGUAUUAUAAUGAGAUCAUUGUUGUGAGUCAAGUUUUAGAAUCGGUACAAAUAUAUAGUAUAGGUCCAAACCCCAUUGAACAGGUCCAUGCAACUCUCUACCCGACCACCUCCCUACCUACAUCCCAGGGACCAACAAAAGACCCAGAGGCAGGCCCCCUUGCUAAACUCGGACAAACAGAUCCACUAUGGAAAUUAGUAAAGGCAGCUUAUGCUACCUUAAAUCAAACCCAUCCUGAGGCAACUAAAUCCUGUUGGUUAUGUUACAACUUAAUUCCCCCUUAUUAUGAGGCAGUAGGCCUCAACGCCUCUUACGACCUGGCCAACAGCACCAAUCCUCCUCAAUGUUAAUGGGGAGACCGAAAAGUAGGCCUUACAAUGAGAGAGGUAUGGGGAAAAGGGUUAUGUAUGGGCAAGGUAUUAUCAGAGAGAUCUCCACUGUGUGUGCAUGUCGUUGAGCCUAUGGGCUUGCCCAUAGCCAGGUGGCUAAUACCACGGAUGGGAGGAUGGUGGGUCUGUUCACACAUGGGGCUGACUCCAUGCUUACACAGCUCAAUCUUUGAUCCCAAAGAAGAAUUCUGUGUUAUGGUAGCAGUCGUGCCAAAGAUUCUGUACCGACCAGAGGAAACAAUAUAUGAUUACUGGGCCCAAAAAUUGACCCUAAAUCCUCAAGAAGGAACUUACAAAGUCAAGAGGGAACCUCUUACUGCCAUAACCAUAGCAACUAUGUUCGGUCUUGGAAUAGCCGGGGCCGGAACAGGAAUAACAGCUUUGUCCCUGCAAAGCCAAGGAUUUAACUCCCUGAGAGCGGCCAUAGAUGAGGACAUCACCCGUAUAGAGCAAUCUAUUAGUCAUUUAGAAUCGUCUUUAACUUCCCUAUCUGAAGUAGUUCUGCAAAACAGAAGAGGAUUAGAUCUGCUCUUUCUGCAACAGGGGGGACUCUGUGCUGCCCUAGGAGAAGAGUGUUGUUUUUAUGCUGAUCACACAGGAAUAGUUAGAGAAUCUAUGGCCAAAGUAAGAGAGGGACUAGCCCAACAUAAACGAGAAUGUGAGGCUCAAAAAGGAUGGUUUGAGUCUUGGUUUCCACAAUCCCCUUGGUUGACCACCCUAAUCUCCACCUUGCUGGGACCCCUGCUAAUACUUCUACUGAUGCUUACCUUUGGCCCAUGUAUUAUCAAUAGACUUGUAGCCUUUGUAAAGGAACGCAUAAAUACAGUACAGCUGUUUGUGCUUCGGCAACAAUAUCAAACUGUGUCUCAGGACUGAGAGGAAGAUUCCUCUAUAUGAUCUAAGGAUGGGGGGAAUGUUAGGGACCAAAUGACGGGCUCUAGGACCUGAGUCAUGUUUACCAGAAAGAGACAGGACAUGCGCUCACCCUGCCUGGCCAAUCAUGUAACGCCAGCUACUCUUGUAACUGAGACAAAGAACUGCCUGUAUAUAAGCCGCCAUACUCCUUUGUUCGGGGCUCUUGUCGGAUUCCACUGUGCUGGAAGAGACUUGGGCCCUAGCGCGCUAGAAAUAAACUCCCUUCUUGCCUUUGCA